CGGGAUGUGGCUCAGUUUGGCUAGAGCGCCUGGUUCGGGACCAGGAGGUCGCAGGUUCAAGUCCUGUCAUCCCGACCA
rnacentral:tRNA from 4 species